rnacentral:rRNA from 1 species
AGUGAACGCUGGCGGUAGGCCUAACACAUGCAAGUCGAACGGCAGCACAGUAAGAGCUUGCUCUUACGGGUGGCGAGUGGCGGACGGGUGAGGAAUACAUCGGAAUCUACUUUUUCGUGGGGGAUAACGUAGGGAAACUUACGCUAAUACCGCAUACGACCUACGAGUGAAAGCAGGGGAUCUUCGGACCUUGCGCGAUUGAAUGAGCCGAUGUCGGAUUAGCUAGUUGGCGGGGUAAAGGCCCACCAAGGCGACGAUCCGUAGCUGGUCUGAGAGGAUGAUCAGCCACACUGGAACUGAGACACGGUCCAGACUCCUACGGGAGGCAGCAGUGGAGAAUAUUGGACAAUGGGCGCAAGCCUGAUCCAGCCAUACCGCGUGGGUGAAGAAGGCCUUCGGGUUGUAAAGCCCUUUUGUUGGGAAAGAAAAGCAGCAGGUUAAUACCCCGCUGUUCUGACGGUACCCAAAGAAUAAGCACCGGCUAACUUCGUG